GACGUGAUCCAGGCUUCGGCCUGGUGAAAGUGGCAGACGGGUGAGUAACGCGUGGGAACCUGUCCCUGUGGUAGCGGAACUAACCGUGGGAAACCUGCGGCUAUAUACCCGUAUGAGUCCUUCGGGAGAAAGAUUUACCAGCCAUAGGAGGGGCCCGCUGUCGGAUUAGGUAGUUGGUGGGAGUAAAAGCCUACCAAGGCGACGAUCGGUAGCUGGUCUGAGAGGACUACCAGCCACACUGGGACUGAGACACGGUCCAGAUUCAUACGGGAGGCAGCAGUGGGGAAUUUUGGACAAUGGGGGCAACCCUGGAUCCAGCCAUGCCGCGUGAUGUGAAGAAGGCCUUCGGGUUGUAAAGCACUUUCGGACGGAACGAAAUCGCGCGGAUUAAUAACCCGCGUGGAUGACGGUACCGUAAGAAGAAGCACCGGCUAACUACGUGCCAGCAGCCGCGGUAAUACGUAGGGUGCGAGCGUUAAUCGGAAUUACUGGGCGUAAAGUGUGCGCAGGCGGCGUUGCAAGUCGAGUGUGAAAUCCCCGAGCUUAACUUGGGAAUUGCGCUCGAAACUACGAUGCUCGAGUGUGGCAGAGGAAGGUGGAAUUCCACGUGUAGCGGUGAAAUGCGUAGAGAUGUGGAGGAACACCGAUGGCGAAGGCAGGCUUCUGGGCCAACACUGACGCUCAUGCACGAAAGCGUGGGGAGCAAACAGGAUUAGAUUACCCUGGGUAAGUCCACGGCCCCUAAACGAUGAUGACUAGUUGU
rnacentral:rRNA from 1 species